rnacentral:rRNA from 1 species
AGUGAACGCUGGCGGUAGGCCUAACACAUGCAAGUCGAACGGCAGCACAGUAAGAGCUUGCUCUUACGGGUGGCGAGUGGCGGACGGGUGAGGAAUACAUCGGAAUCUACUUUUUCGUGGGGGAUAACGUAGGGAAACUUACGCUAAUACCGCAUACGCCCUACGGGUGAAAGCAGGGGAUCUUCGGACCUUGCGCGAUUGAAUGAGCCGCUGUCGGAUUAGCUAGUUGGCGGGGUAAAGGCCCAGCAAGGCGACGAUCCGUAGCUGGUCUGAGAGAAUGGUCGGCCACACGGGAGGUGGGACGCGGACCUGACUCCUAAGGGAGGCAGCAGUGGGGAAUAUUGGACAAUGGGCGCAAGCCUGACCCAGCCAUACCGCGUGUGUGGCGGAGGCCUUCGGGUUGUAAAGCCCUUUUGUGGGUUAAGAAAAGCAGCAGGUUAAUACCCCGCUGUUCUGACGGUACCCAAUGAAUAAGCACCGGCUAACUUCGUG